AAGAAAUUAAAAGUCGAACAGACUUAAUACCCUAAACUGCUGCGCCUAGAAUUAAUCUUAAUCCAACAUCGAGGUCGCAAUCUAUUUUAUCGAUAUGAACUCUCCAAAAUAAUUACG
rnacentral:rRNA from 1 species